UUAAGGGGGGUUCACACGGAGUCGUGGACCAGGCGAGAACACUACUCUAUUUGAGUGAGUCACACGACCUGCUUAAUAACGCCCGUCUCCAGUUCCCACUUGACUUCGCAAAUGCUUCUUCUCGCCUUCAGAGUCACGGUGUUUGAAAAUGGCACGCAACUGACUUGGUCGUGAUCACUCCAACAUGCCGGAGUGGUUACCACCGCUGUCUUCAAGGUCGUAUACUACCAACUGUGCAACGACCACUAGUUCCCACUCGGUAGUGAGCACGACCUCCGGUCCUCUUGGUCGUGUUCUCGCCCGGUCCACGACUCCGUGUGAACCCCCCUUUACGCGAGAUCCGUGGUAGACGAAGUGGCACUGCGAUACGUUUCUUCCCCGAGUGCUUCGUUUUCACCGUUAUCAUUUCGUCUGUCUCUAUAAUCGUCUAUGACCGUCCAAUGAGAUGUGCAAUAGCCUGAACAAGCAGCACAUUAUCAUGCCCUCUGUCCUAAGUUGGAGCUUCAUCUCUGACCCGGUACUGAUCUCAGAGUAAAGGAAGAGUAUCAGGUGAGCCAACUUCAAAAGCACGAACCACAAAACAAAUUCAAACCAGAUUUGUUCAUAUGCUUGUUGACACUGUUUCAUGUGGCGAAGUUAUUUGAUCGUCUAUGCUGUUUAUGAUAAAAACAACAGGGUAAUUACGGAAUAAAUGGCUGAGAAACCCGAACAUACAGAAAACCUCUUCGCGCUGUCGUGUGCACCAAAAUAAGCUAUAACGUGUUUAUCCAUCUUGUCAUGCUGCCAUGAAUGAUGGGUUUCCACUGCUUCUCCCAAAACACGAUAACUACGUCUACCUCCUCCUGAGUGCCAUACAAAUCACGCUGUUCUCUCAACUUGGCAGAGAGCACAUGGGCUUCGAAGACUGCUUGAAGAACGAUAAUCCAUGCGAACACACUGGAUUCU